CCCCUUUCAGGAUCACACCUGGAGAGUUUCCAGUACUCCACCAGUCUCUGCUACAGGAGGGAGAGUCAAGCACAGGCAUACCCAUUCCAUUUCUAGCUUGGGCAGUGGCUAGCAAGUGGAAGGCAAUCUGCCGCAAGU